UGUGGUUCACUGAUUUGAAGAGCUUGCUCAGAUAUGACGACGGACAUUGCAAAGAGUGGCGAACGGGUGAGUAACACGUGGGAAACCUACCUCUUAGCAGGGGAUAACAUUUGGAAACAGAUGCUAAUACCGUAUAACAAUAGCAACCGCAUGGUUGCUACUUAAAAGAUGGUUCUGCUAUCACUAAGAGAUGGUCCCGCGGUGCAUUAGUUAGUUGGUGAGGUAAUGGCUCACCAAGACGAUGAUGCAUAGCCGAGUUGAGAGACUGAUCGGCCACAAUGGGACUGAGACACGGCCCAUACUCCUACGGGAGGCAGCAGUAGGGAAUCUUCCACAAUGGGCGAAAGCCUGAUGGAGCAACGCCGCGUGUGUGAUGAAGGGUUUCGGCUCGUAAAACACUGUUGUAAGAGAAGAAUGACAUUGAGAGUAACUGUUCAAUGUGUGACGGUAUCUUACCAGAAAGGAACGGCUAACUACUGC
rnacentral:rRNA from 1 species